GCGGAGCCCAACCUAGCCCAGGAAAACCACCGCAUAGGCGGUAAGAGGAGAAAGAAACACGUGUUAAACCAGAACAAAAGAUGGUAGACGGUCGCCGUGGAGCUGUUACGCCAAAACAAUAUUAUAUCUUGCUGUCGAAUAUAUAUAGCACAGAACAUUGUAAAAAAUAUAGACAGUUUAAGAUAUGAUUUUACUUUGAAGCCAAUGAGAAGAAUACCAAAAAGAUAGACUAACAAAGAUCAACAUGACUAUAAGAAACUAAAAGCGAGAAACCAAAACCAUCUCUCCCCGAAAGAAGCUUUCAUGUUUCAUGCAAUAUGCUGAACUCAAAUGGUUAGGGGUAAUCUGAUUUAACACUUGAAUUCAUGUGGGACUGAUGGUAAGUAGAACAUACAUCAAUUUCCCACUUUAUAACCACACCACACACCAAUACACCCAUGCAUCAAAUUUUCUUUUUGAAUGCUUCCUCUAUUGCAAUCCCCAUGGAAGCCAAAGUUCCCAUUCGAACCGAAAAUGGUAGGCCCUCGAUCACCAUAAAG